rnacentral:rRNA from 1 species
CGCCUGCCCUGUGACAAUUGUUUAACGGCCGCGGUAUUUUGACCGUGCAAAGGUAGCGCAAUCACUUGUCUUUUAAAUGAAGACCUGUAUGAAUGGCAUAACGAGGGCUUAACUGUCUCCUUUUUCCAGUCAAUGAAAUUGAUCUUCCCGUGCAGAAGCGGGAAUAUAACCAUAAGACGAGAAGACCCUAUGGAGCUUUAGACACAAGACAGCUCUUGUUAAACACUUCAAAAUAAAGAAACAAACUAAAAGAACCCUGCCCUAAUGUCUUUGGUUGGGGCGACCACGGGGAAACAAACAACCCCCACGCGGACUGAGAAAACAGUUCUUACAGCCAAGAGUUACAACUCUAAUCAACAGAAACUCUGACCACAAGAUCCGGCAAUGCCGAUCAACGGACCGAGUUACCCUAGGGAUAACAGCGCAAUCCCCUUUUAGAGUCCAUAUCGACAAGGGGGUUUACGACCUCGAUGUUGGAUCAGGACAUCCUAAUGGUGCAGCAGCUAUUAAGGGUUCGUUUGUUCAACGAUUAAAGUCCU